rnacentral:rRNA from 1 species
CAAAAUGACUCUCGGCAACGGAUAUCUCGGCUCUCGCAUCGAUGAAGAACGUAGCGAAAUGCGAUACUUGGUGUGAAUUGCAGAAUCCANNGAACCAUCGAGUCUUUGAACGCAAGUUGCGCCCGAAGCNUUCGGGCUAAGGGCACGUCUGCNUGGG